GACGUAGGGGGCCAGCGUUGUUCGGAAUUACUGGGUGUAAAGGGUUCGUAGGCGGUGCGGCAAGUUGGGAGUGAAAUCUCUGGGCUUAACCCAGAGGCUGCUUCCAAAACUGCUGUGCUUGAGUGUGGGAGAGGCGCGUGGAAUUGCAGGUGUAGCGGUGAAAUGCGUAGAUAUCUGCAGGAACACCCGUGGCGAAAGCGGCGCGUUGGACCACUACUGACGCUGAGGAACGAAAGCUAGGGGAGCAAACAGG
rnacentral:rRNA from 1 species